GGUUUCCUAGUGUAAUGGUUAUCACAGCGGAUUCUGAUUCCGCUAAUCUGGGUUGAUUCCCAGGGAGACCU
rnacentral:tRNA from 1 species